UUUCCCUCCCCUUCCCCCUCUCCCUCCUCCUCCUCCUCCUUCUGCUUCUCCUGCUGCAGUGGACAUAACGGAGCGGUGUCGUGGUAGGAGGAUAAACAGGAGGGCCAGUCUGCUUUCUCGCCUUAAAAGUCAACUGUUUGCUUGUUGAAGGAGUCAAGAAAACGAUCCCUGGCUUCUGAUACAGUGGGUUGCUUGACGCGGGCAGCUGAGUCCUCGAGGAGCGUCCUUGUGGCGGCUGCUCACUCCACUUUCGAGGAACAAGUGGUGUCCCGUCAUGUGGCAGCCGCUGUCACUGCCACCUGGAUCACCGGAGCGACCAGCCUCACCUGUCUAGUUUUCGCCAGUCUGUUGUGAGUGGGAGGCGGCGAAGUGUCAGAGGGUGGUCACUCUUGAUGCAUCCAGGCCACCAGGUGAAGGGGACGCAAACACAGGGGAUGCAGAGGACAAAGACCCGCCAGCUUACGACGCCAUGUACCCUGUGAAAGCAUCAAAGUUGUCCCAAAGGCGUUCCUCUCCUGCAGAAGGGGAAACGACUCAGACCACCUUCAGGAUGCCACGAAAAGAAGUUGAGAGAAGUGGAAGUGAUGGACUGAAGGGAAGGAAGGCAACGUGUGGGUGUGAAGGGAAGGUAGCCACUGAUGGGACCCCGCAGAAUGUUAAGGAGGAUGAAAGGAGUGAAGAGGAAAAGAAGGAAGGAUUGUGUACAGAAUGCAUUACAAGUUCAGCAACAAUGGAGGUUUUACGGGACUUCUGCACCAAGACCACAGCUCACGGCUUCAACCACGUCGUGAAGAGUGAACAGCCUUUCCUGCUGCGGGUCUUCUGGGUGCUUGUGAUCAGCGUUGGAAUUCUGAUGCUGAUUUCCGCCUCGUACGAAGUGACGUACUCCUCCCUCAUCGCCCAGCGGCCCUCCAUUGAGAUCGUGUACCGGGACCUGUACAGCACCGGCAUGCGGGUUCCCUUCAUUACCAUCUGCAGCCUGGCGGGGUUCUGGAAGUCCAAGUUGACGAAGCACAACGUGAGUGACGCCCUGGCCUCGUACUUGCUGUUGGCGGUGCGGGGGACGGAGAUCAUCAGCCCUGCCUUUGAGACCAACCCGGCGAGGAAGACAGUGCUAAAAGGGGAGCUUGAUGCCUACUUGAAGGAUCACCAUCUUACUCUCAGCGAGAUGGUUACCCUGCUGUCGCCUAGGCUGGAGUGCUGCCGGGAGGUUCUCAAACCCACACUGACGGGGCUGGGGCAGUGCUACACGACCCGCAGCCCUCAAGGGAACGCCAUCCUUCAGCAGACCUUCGCGGGGCUCCUCGGAGGGUACAAGGUUAUCUUCGCUGUCAACACUAGUGAACAGAUCAUAUACGACUCCCGAAUCGUGUCUUCCCCGUCCUUGGCCGAGGCUGGGAUUCACGUGUCACUGUCCAACUUUGACCUCAGUCCCUCAGUGGCCACCAGCAUGCAGCCCCUCCGCGUGGCGCCCAACAUUGCUGCCUCCGUCGCCGUUUCCUACACCUCGCUGAACAAGAGGGAGCGGUACAAGGGAGCGUUGCCGUGGUCCGUGCCUUCCUGCGUCACCGAGGAGAGUUUCUGGAAUCUGACGGAGGAGGAACGCUCAAAAAUCCACCACAACUUCUUCUUCCACAUCUUCUACAGGACGUGCCCGCUGCUGCUCACCAACUGCACCCUGCUGGCGCGGAGGUUCACCAAUGACACGACUGCCGAGUGUCAUCCUUCAGACAUCCUCAACCACAAAGUAAUGGACGACCAGAUGACCCGCUGCCUGGACGACCACCUCCACAAAGACGCGAGCGAGAACAAACUGUGUGAGGUGACGGAGGUGACGCAACAGAUGAGCCACACCACGCUGGUCCCCGAGAUGCUGGAAGCGCACGAGGGCAUCACCGUCAUCCCGGAUCUCACAUACUCGAUGAUCAACAUUUACUACACCCAGCUGGGGUACACCGAGCACAAAGAGAACAUUCCAACUGUCUUCACCUGGUUCAGUGGCCUCGGCGGGCAGAUGGGGCUGUUCCUCGGGGCGUCUGUCAUCACCCUUGUCGAGGUCUACUUCACACUCUGCCGCGUCUUUCAGAUUCUCCUCACUGCCUUCGUCGCCACCUUCUGCAGGGGGAUCAGGAGGUGCCUCGGGGUGUUUCGGGACUCAAACCUCUCUACCUGAAGUGUUUAGUCGACAGAUCCCAUUAUUCAGUCUGUGUGUCGUUGCUGGAGAGUCUAGCGCACCUUCAGACUCCCCUCGUAGUAUACACGUGGGUGGAUGGCGGCAGACUAUCAAAAGACGACCUUAUCUGGUGAUUUCGCUUAACUACAAGAAAGGGCACUCCGCUGGUUUGCCCGAUAAUUUUGCUUGAACAACGGGCAUUAAGCAAGUACCUCCCUCUAUCUCUGUUGCUCCCCAAUCAAGGUGGGAAGCACGUUCUAACUUGGAGCUCGUUCAAGUACCCGUCAGGUCGUGUGGACGGGGCCUGAUUGGUUCUUGAGUUCUGCUGGCGACGGACUCGGCAGACAACAGUGGUUAGUCGUGACGUGGAAAUGAAUUAUUUCCUUCCAUCCUUACCUCUCCCUCUCUCUCCUACUUUUCCACCUUUCCCUCCCUUCCUCUCACCGUCAUGUCAUAUCCUGUUCUUUCGUAGUUCUAUCUUAACUUUUUUUUUUUCAUCGUUAAUUCCUCUACGUAAAUAUUGUUUUCCUUUAUAUCAUUAAAUUCCAACCGUAAGUAUUCCAACAAGUUCUAUCUUCACCUUUUUAAUCUUUAAUCCCCCUACGUAAUCCUUGCUUUCUUUUACUCUACUCGUAUAAUAUAUUCUAAUCGCUUUCUUUUACUCUAUAAUAUAUUUUAAUCCCUAUUCUACCUAUAGUGUAUCUAUAUUCUCCUAGACGUAGUUAGCCAGUGUUAGUAGUAACAAUAGUUCAGUAGACACCCUUCUUAAAGACCCACAGCUCGUUGAAACAUAUCUAUUUUUAUCUCUCGUAAUAUCUAUCUCUAUAUCUGCCUGUCUCUCCCUCCCUCCCUCCCUCUCCUGACACAUUCCUCUCUUCUGGAACAUGUCUGAAAGCCUUAUCAGUUUGGUCUCGCCCCCUCCUGAUCCUAUGGUGCAUUCCAGCUCUUAUCUCAGCGACAGUCUUGUUUUAAUGGGGUCCAGGAGUCAAUUUCGCCUUUGUCCUGCAGAGUUAUGGGUGAUACUUGUCUCGUAGCUUGUGAGGUCUCGAGCUUUCUCCGUCCGUCCGUCUGUCUGCUCCUUAUUUGAUCCCGCUAACCUUUCCUUUCUAUUUCUCUUCUGUAUAUUUUUUCAUCCGUUUAUUCUCAUCGUCUAUACCUUGUUCUUGUGUAUUUUCUUCUAUACUUAUCUCCGUGUCUUUUCUUCGUCCAUAUCUUAUUGCGAGUAUCUACGCACCCGUCCUUCUGAAGUUUAAAGCAGUGAUUCUCCUUGUUUUAUCUGGUCUUUGGCGACUUCUCAUACAAGACCCUUCCUUAUCCACGGCUCCCAUCUGGCAACACCUGUAUUUGUGAUAUAUUUGUUUUUGAUGGAUGUUAUUUAUAAAUAUAUUUAUUUACUAAUAGACGUAUAUUUAUGGAGACAUUUGGUCAGAUUUAUGCGUUUAUUUGCAAGGUGAUCUGAUGCGACGUGUGGCAGCACUACUCUGGGAUGUACAGCACCGUGAUAAUACCACCCACAAACACCACCAUGUGGGUAAUACUGAUAAUAAUAAUGGAUUCAAGACUGAUGGAAGAGAGACCAAGGUUUUUCAGGAAGGUUGAUGUAAAGCUUCAAAAGUAGAAAGAUGAAUUUCUGAUAGGAAUGAUAUAGUAGUUAUAUUCUGUAACUGUAGUCUCUCCUAAAAAUACAAAUUCAGGAAUUAUAUAAAAGCUGUUAAUGUCAAUGGAGAAAGUCUCUCGAACACCAAGCUCCGUGAUUAGGAUGAAUUUUCAGAGUGUGGUAUAGGUUUGUCUAAACGGGGCAGCCAUAACCAUUACGUGAAUAGAGAUUCUCCAUCUAGUUAGCAGUUGUGGUGGUGGCGGCUCAUCUCAGCCAGAAUGACAUGGGCUGAUUCAUUCGGGACAGAUUUAUAUAUAAUUUUGGCCACCACGCUUGACCAGUUAGGUGGCACGGGCGUGUCAUCUGAAGCCAUCCUUGAGAGGCGGUGGGGGCGCGUCACCAGCAUCUACACAGCGAGGCGCGUCACUAGCAUCCGUCCAGCGAGGCGCACGGGGCGCGUCACCAGUAUCCAUCCAGCGAGGCGUACUGGGCGUGUCAUCUGCAUCCAUCCAGCGAGGCGCACGAGAGGGUGAUGCUGUGAAGCUGGCGCAACAGGAGCUGACCAGUGCUGAAGGAGGACACCACACAGCAGCAGCAGCAUCACUGUGAGGGAAGACAGCUCUGGAGGAGUGAACAGCUGCACCAUUGACUGCAGCAGAACUUCACCAUUGCUGAAUACUUAUGCUGCUGCUGCUGCUGCUGCUGCUGCUGCUGCUACUACUACUACUACUACUACUGCUGCU